rnacentral:rRNA from 1 species
UACGUAGGGAGCAAGCGUUGUCCGGAAUCAUUGGGCGUAAAGCGCGCGUAGGCGGCUUCGUAAGUCCGUUGUGAAAGUCAAAGGCUCAACCUUGGAAAGCCGAUGGAUACUGUGAAGCUAGAGUACGGAAGAGGCGAGUGGAAUUCCUGGUGUAGCGGUGGAAUGCGCAGAUAUCAGGAGGAACACCAAUUGCGAAGGCAGCUCGCUGGGACGUAACUGACGCUGAGGCGCGAAAGCGUGGGGAGCAAACAGG